AACGCACCUUGCACUCCUUGGUAUUCCGAGGAGUAUGCCUGUUUGAGUGUCUGACAUUCAUCAAUCCUCCUUUACUUUUGUAAUGGUUGGCUUGGAUUUGGGGAUUGCUGGCCUUUCAUUAGGUCUGGCUUCCCUUGAAUGCAUUAGUUGAAUUGACUUGCAACGCUAUGUGUGGUGUGAUAAUAUCUUCACUGCAUAGUUGUAAUGAAGUUUGGCUUAUAACCGUCUUUCAUUAGACAAUUUUGACCAUUAGACCUCAAAUCAGGUAGGACUACCCGCUGAACUUAA
rnacentral:misc_RNA from 1 species